rnacentral:SRP_RNA from 1 species
GCUGGGCAAGGUGGCGGGCGCCUGUAGUCCCAGCUACUCAGGAGGCUGAGGCAGGAGAAUGGUGUGAACCUGGGAGGCGGAGCUUACAGUGAGCCGAGAUCACGCCACUGUACUCCAGCCUGGGUGACAGAGCGAGACUCCGUCUCAAAAAAAAAAAAAAAAAGAAAGACAUACAGAGUCUCGCUUUAUCGCCCAGGCUGGAGUGCAGUGGUGCGAUCUCGGUUCGCUGCAACCUCCGCCUCCCAGGUUCAAGUGAUUCUCCUGUCUCAG